ensembl:lncRNA
UGCCAUCACCCAUCUUGUGAGCUGUUGAGGGAAAACAACCACAGGCUGCAGAGGGAAAAUGAUUUUCUCAAGGCAAAAAUAGCAACAUUGAAAUUGCUGCCAGACGUUUUGCAGAAGAUGGAGGAGUUUCUUCGCUCAGCACCAAGACCUAUGACAACACCAAUACCAACACCAAGACCAAGACCAAGACCAGAACCAACACUAUCACCAGCACCAACAGCAGUUCCACCACCAGCAACAGAAGACCCAUCACCAGCUCCAGGUCCAUCAUCAGCAACAGAGGCCCUGGGCCACUCUGUCAUUCCAAAAGGACUUGUGGAGCGCUGCUCCUUCCAAAGCCCCCAAAAGUUCAUAAAUGAUCUCCUACAUGGGAUGUAUACCAGGGAAUAUAUGGCAGGCCAUUCAGUGACUGGCCAGUCAUCCAGCAGCUGCACAGAAG